rnacentral:rRNA from 1 species
GACGAACCGUGCGAACGUUGUUCGGAUUCACUGGGCUUAAAGGGCGCGUAGGUGGCGACCCAAGUCGAUGGUGAAAGCUCGCCGCUCAACGGCGAGUCGGCCACCGAUACUGGGUUGCUCGAGCACUGUAGAGGCUAAUGGAAUUCCGGGUGUAGCGGUGGAAUGCGUAGAGAUCCGGAAGAACACCGGUGGCGAAGGCGGUUAGCUGGGCAGUUGCUGACACUGAGGCGCGACAGCGUGGGGAGCAAACAGG